GAUGAACGCUAGCGGCAGGCUUAAUACAUGCAAGUCAAGGGGGUAGCAAUACAACCGGCGCACGGGUGAGUAACGCGUACACAACAUACCAUAUACUGGAGUAUAGCUUUGGGAAACUGAAGGUAAUCCUCCAUAACAUUGCGAGAGGGCAUCUGAUUGCAAUUAAAGUUCCGGCGGUAUAUGAUUGGUGUGCGUUUGAUUAGCUAGUUGGUAGGGUAACGGCCUACCAAGGCGACGAUCAAUAGCUGGCGUGAGAGCGCGACCAGCCACACUGGAACUGAGACACGGUCCAGACUCCUACGGGAGGCAGCAGUAGGGAAUAUUGGACAAUGGGCGAAAGCCUGAUCCAGCCAUGCCGCGUGAUAGAUGAAGGCCCUCUGGGUUGUAAAGCUCUGUGGGGAGAGAAGAAUAAAGCCUGUGAAGAAUGGGCCUUGACGGUAUCUCCUUAGCAAGCACCGGCUAACUCCGUGCCAGCA
rnacentral:rRNA from 1 species